rnacentral:misc_RNA from 1 species
AAGUCGUAACAAGGUUUCCGUAGGUGAACCUGCGGAAGGAUCAUUAUUGAAUGAACUUGGUGUGAUUGUUGCUGAUCCUUCUGGGAUAUGUGCACAUCUGCCAUCUUUAUCUCUCCACCUGUGCACACUUUGUAGGUCUAGAAUAACUCUCUGAGGCAACUCAGAUGUGAGAACUGCUACUGCGAGGUAGCUUUUCUUGUGUUUCUAGAUCUAUGUUUUCAUAUACACCAUAAGAAUGUAACAGAAUGUAUUAAUGGGUCUUGUACCUAUAAACUAUAUACAACUUUCAGCAACGGAUCUCUUGGCUCUC